rnacentral:lncRNA from 1 species
GUCCUCUCAUCUCCUACCAUUGCCUCUUCUUUUCUUGGACAAACCCACAGAGAGACCAGAGUGCAUGGAAGCCCACUGAUGCCAUCCACUCAGGUGAGCCUCCUGGGCUCAGAGCAAGGAGAGAAAGGGCCAAGUGGUCCUGGACGGACAAAGAGGUAACAUCCAGUAUAUAAAGGUUCUACCUCAAAGGAUCAAUCGGAUUAACUGAGAUCACGUCAAUAAGGCAUUUAUUUAGCACAGAGCAAGACUUCGCUAAGUGGCGACUCAUGGUUACCCCAGAACCCUCCCUAGCCCGGGUUCUCAAGGUUGGUGCCAGGCCAGCCUUGAUCCACCCUCCAGCGCUGAGAAUGGAACAGAGCUGAGCUUCUCCUACACCCUGUGUUUACUUAGAGGAAACUUGGCUGCUGAGAGCAAGAGGAGGUUGACUGCGGUUUUCUGCAACAGCUGGGGGUGGAGGGAGGCAGAGAGAGGGGAGCUGGAACAUGUUAGGGCCCCCGAAAGCCAAGAUACCCCAGAGCCCAGGAAUCUGAGAAGAGUCCACGUUGAGGGCAGCGUUCGCCUGCGUUCUCUGCCAAGGGGCUGUGGAUUUCGGGACUGAGCACCGUGUCCCGGGACCUCAUCCCCAGGAGGCAGGGCCAUGGGACAGCCCCCAGCGCCAGCCGUGUGGAAUGUGCCACUCUUGGAACUGAGGCUCUCGGUUUUUAAAAUUGGCUUGUAAAUCUCCGUGUAGUUUUCAGGCUUUAGGAAUUUUAUUUUAUCUGGAUUAAAGUCAUGUUCUGCUUUGGCAUAGGAAGGCGUUUAUGACUGUUAAAACAAGAAAUGAAAAAUAUAGGCCUGCAAUCAGCCGGGCUGCCUCCUGCCAGAGUCUAGGGAUUUGUCUUGGGGGCCAGGCUGAAGGUUUGCUGCCCUUCUCCCCGCACUGCUCUGUGUUUCUCCAGAAAGCUGGAGCUGGCUGCCUGGGAGCGGCUGUCGCGAUGGCUGGGAGGGCCUCAGGAACGAAGCCUUUGUCUUUGCUCAGGUGUGUUCUCACAAUGGGGAGCCACGGCCCUCCCCAAGGACCAGCGAGCAAUGGGCGCAUCUCAUUCGCUGCCUGCAUUUGCCCCCGCCCAUCCAAGAGAGCAGAAUCAGAGAGGAGAUGAGACGAGAGACGGCUUCCGAGGCUGAUAGAGAUGGAUUUUGCCGGGAGAGUGCCAACGUCGCUCCUCCCGCCUCCCGUCGGCCCUCUGCCAAAGUCUUCCCAUCGGACAUCUGGCCCCAGCAGGGAGAAACAGGGACCAAGGCACUUAUUUUGGCUUUGACGUCAGCGAAGGAAGGCUGAGUAAAUUCAUCAUUAGUGCAAAUUAAAAUCCACCAAACCGUAUCUCUCUUCGUUACAUCGCCUGCAUUUCUAGAGCUGACAGAGGUCUCGCUUUCCUUUUGUUUUUGUUUUGCUCUGGAUUAAGGUGUGAUUUUUUUUUAAAAACAGUUAAUUGGAAGAUAAUAAUGCCAGCGAGCUUAUUGUUAAUUAUUUGUAUCUGUACUUAAUACUGAGAAGUGUGCUCUGUUCUCACGAGCUAAUAUUUGGCUUGUCAGAUGUUGUUAGUCGUUGUAAUUAAUGGAGCCCAUAUACAUUUACUGGAGCUGUGGGUAGAGUUAUAGGAACAGCGGGAGAUAUGAAAUUUCUCCACCACCCCGCCCUUAUCCCUAGAAAGAGAACUUUGGGGCGUCGAGUCCUUCUUGUGACAUUCAUUGGUUAUCCGUCUGUAAGACCCUCCAUAUCCUCUCUCUCGGCUCCCUGUUAUUUUCCUUUGUACCAUCAGGGCCAGCUGCAUUGCUUCUGGGGCCCAGUGAAAAACAAAAACAUGGAGGCCGGCCCGUGGCUGAGUGGCUAAGCUCGCGCGCACGCGCACUCUGCUGCAGGCAGCCCAGUGUUUCCUCUGUUCAAAUCCUGGGCGCGGACAUGGCACCACUCAUCCAGCCACGCUGAGGCGGCGUCCCUCAUGCCACAGCUAGAAAGACCCACAACUAAGACUAUACAACUGUGUACCAGGGGGGCUUUGGGGAGAAAAAGGAAAAAAAUAAAAUCUUCAAAAUAAAAUAAAAUAAAACA